GGCUAGCCUGAGAUGUUGCCAUGGACACGGAAAUUUUGGCGGUUAAAUGAGCGGAUUGAACUGGUUUAAACCAGACUGAGCCAGUUUUCUCCAGCUUUUUCCAGAGGUGAGCGACCGGUCAGUCAGCUUACAAAGCAAAAGCUAGGAGAGUGGCCUUUGGUAGCUGCCAGGAAAGAAAUCUGAUUCCGACGCAUUCUGCACCCAAUCGUAUGGGCAUUGAGCAGCCCGGUAGUGCAUGGUUCAAAUAAGCUUGGCCCCGGCUCCCAUCAGUCAUGGUGGAACAGGAAAGAGCAUCCUUCAAACUGUUGCCACUAAGUUGAAUAAUGAAUAAGCUUGGCCCCGGCUCCCAUCACAACCAGGAAUCGCUUGGUGAACUGGAGACGUGUCGACUGGUCGACCAUACUGCUGGUUCGAGGAUGAGGUGGACCUACUUCGCCCUUCCCAAAG